GGAAACAAAGAAAAGAAACAGAAUAGGCAAACGAAAAGCAGGGGAAAGAAAGAAAGAAAGGAGAAAGAAAAGAAAAAGGGAGAACUAGGAUUUGAAGGUUUGGAAGUUUAAUAGGUAAGUUAAUUUAGCCUAUUUUACUUAAUUUUGAUAUUUUAAAAGCUUUAGAACAAAGUUUUGAUGAAAUUAAAUUAAUAUUUUGAAAGUUAUUAGAAUUCUAAAUAUUGUUCAUGUUGAAUAAAAAAAUGAAUUAGGGGUUAGAUUGAUAGGAAUUCAAGUUAGAAAUGAAAUAAGGAUUGAAUUGUAAAGUAAUUCAUAAGUUUUAUGUUGAAAGGACUAAAUUGAUGAAAUUUUCGAAAUUAGGAAAAUAUGCUGAAAUUUUGAUUGUUAAGUUGAGUUUGGACAAAAUUUGAAUAGAAAUGAAGUAUGAAUUGAGAUAGAAAAAGUAAGUGAAUUUAGUUAAGAUUAAAUUGAAAUUAAAGUAGAAAUUGAAUCAAAAUUUAUUAAUUAGAUAUAAAUUAGUAGAGAAUUAACGAAUAUGAAUUGUUUUAAUUCCCAUAGCUAAUGUUGUCUCGGGAAAUCUCGGCUAAGCAAGGAAAAAUGGCAAAGACAACGGGAGUUAGCUCGAGAAAAUACGGUUUGUAUUUCUAUAAUCCGAACUCAGUCAUUAUUUGUUAUAUUUAUAUACAGAUGACAAUUGUUAGUGUUAGAAUUAUGAUAUUUUACAAUUGAAAUGGAUUGAUUUUGGUAUGUGAUGAAUUUAUCAAAUUUAUAUUGGUUGAAAUCAUUUUGAUUGAAUUUAUAUUGAUUGAAAUAUAUAAUAUAUAAUAUAUAUAUGAUUUAUGUAAAAAUUUGAAUAUUGAAUGAAUGUUAUAUUGAAAAAAAAUUAUAUUGAUUGGAAAUUUGAGGGAAUUGAUAUGAAUAUAUGUGAUUAUUAGAAUGGUAUAUUGAUGAAAGACUUAUUAAAUUGAGAAAGUGAAUCAAAUACCCUAUUAACAGUAUCGGACCAGAUUGGAUACAAAUGGCAUUCCAUUGGAUUUGUGAUGUGAUGGGGAGAUUUGUAGUUCGGCCGAGAAGAUGUUUCUGUUAUUCGGUUUAUCCGAAGAGGCAUUUAAUGCAUUAUUGGUGUGUUUGGGAGGAUAUGAUAUACUGGUGUGUUUGGGAGGAUUUAUAAUAUUCCGGGUGUGUUUGGGUUGGAUAUUCUGGUGUGUUUGGGAGGAAUCCGUGUAUCUAUCAGAGUCCGGGUCUUGUUAAUAGGGGUAAAUAAGUGAAAAGAUAAAUCGAGUGAAUUUGAUUGAUUGAGCUAUUGGAAUGAAAUGAGAAAUUGAAUUGAGAAUUGAAAUUGAGAUAUGAGAUUGAAAACAUGAACCAAAAGGUUCAUGAAAUGAGUGAAGUUCAAAUAGAUGAUGAUUGAUGUUAGAAUGAAUUAAAAUGGUAUAUUGUUAAGAAGUAAAGUGUGAAUACAAAUGAAUUGUGAAUAUAUUGUAAAGAAUUUAUACGGUAAGCAAAUGAAAAGAAUUGAGCAAAUAUAUUGUUGUGUUUGUUAUAUGGCUUGUAUAGAAUUUUUAUGGUAAGUAAAUGAAACUUAUCUAUAAAAUAAAUAAAUGAAUAGUUAUAUUUGUUAUUGUGAUUUUAAGUUUAAUUGUUAUAUUAUCAAGUGUUUGGAUUAUAGAAAUACCACUGAGUAUACUAUACUCAGCGUACGGUUUAUUUCUGUGCGCAGGUAAAGUAAAGAUAGAACGUUGAAUCAGCAUCCCAGGCCGAUCCCGAAUUCAAUGAGGUAAAGUGUGUUAAUUAUGGGUAAUGGCAUGUACCUAGGAUGUCUUAUGUGUGUGUCAUUUUGAAAUUGUAAAUGUAAGGAUGAAAUAAAUAAAUUUAGGUUUGGUUAUGGUAUAAAAUAGGAUUUGACUAAUUUGAUAUGAAUUUGAAUUUUUGUGAGACAAUGUCAGAUUGAUUUUGGAAUUCCCUAUUCUGAAUUGGGAAAAUCAUUAAAAAUUGUAUAAAAAUAAUUAUGAGCUAUAAUUUAUAUGCUUAGAAUAUUUAAUGAGUCUAUUUUCAAGAGAAAUAAACGGGAACAUCAUCCGAGUCCUAUGCUAUGAGAUAAUUAAAUUUUAGUAAAAAAAGGGUUGAAGUUGUCAAAUAGCAGACCAGGGGUAACUUUGAGGAAUAAACUGUACUAAUUGGCUAUAUUAAAAAUUCUGAAAAUUUUAUGGUAGAAAGGUAUGAGUCUAGUUUUAAGGAAAAUUAACGGAACUUAAUUUGAAGUUUCGUAGCUCUAGUUAUAAAUAUUUUAGUGACUGCUGCUCAAGAAGACAACUUUGACAUAAACAUAAGAAAAUAAUGGAAUUGUGUGUAAUUAUUCUGUAAACUCCGGUAAUGCUCCAUAACCCUCUUCUGGUGACGGUUUGGGGUUAAGGGGUGUUACACUAACCACCAAUUCUUCCUCUUGUAGCUGAUCACGAUAUGACCUGCAAACCAACCCUUACCGAUAAUCUAACCGAGAUACACGUGUUCUCGAUUCAAGAUUCUGGUAGCCUUACGCUCUGAAGAACCCAACUCGAAUUAACGGCUUUAACUGCGUGGGUUGUUUAAACCCGAUCACUUCUUCCUUGAUUUGUUCUCGAAGAUCCGAAUAUAGCACGGCCGACUCGUUUCUCCAACUGUCAGCAAACACGGC
rnacentral:lncRNA from 1 species